rnacentral:rRNA from 1 species
UUUUAACCGUGCAAAGGUAGCGUAAUCACUUGUCUUUUAAAUGAAGACCUGUAUGAAAGGCACCACGAGGGCUUAGCUGUCUCCUCCUCCCAAUCAAUUAAAUUGAUCUCCCCGUGCAGAAGCUGGGAUAUAAACAUAAGACGAGAAGACCCUAUGGAGCUUUAAACAUAUCAGGUUUACGUCACUGCCUCCUAAACAAAGGAAUGAACUAAGCAUUUACCUAGAAAAUGUUUUUGGUUGGGGCGACCGCGGGAUAAUAACUAACUCCCGUGAUGAGAAAGCAACGCUUUUAAAACUAAGACCUCCAAGUCUAAGUCGUAGAAACUCUAGCAAAUGAUCCGGCUAGCCGAUCAACGAAACGAGUUACCCUAGGGAUAACAGCGCAAUCCCCUUCAAGAGUCCUUAUCGACAAGGGGGUUUACGACCUCGAUGUUGGAUCAGGACAUCCUAAUGGUGUAGCCGCUAUUAAGGGUUCGUUUGGUCAACG